rnacentral:rRNA from 1 species
UACGGAGGAUCCGAGCGUUAUUCGGAUUUAUUGGGUUUAAAGGGUGCGUAGGCGGUUUGAUAAGUUAGAGGUGAAAUGUCGGGGCUCAACCCCGAGACUGCCUCUAAUACUGUUGGACUAGGGAAUAGUUGCGGUAGGCGGAAUGUAUGGUGUAGCGGUGAAAUGCUUAGAGAUCAUACAGAACACCGAUUGCGAAGGCAGCUUACCAAACUAUAUCUGACGUUGAGGCACGAAAGCGUGGGUAGCAAACAGG